UGGACAUUUUUAGUUCUUCCAGGAAGUGUUUAGGAAGAGGAGAGCUUGAAUGGCUGCCGGCUUGGUCUGCAGAUGUGUAGUUCUUCCUGGGUUGGAUUUGCAGGGUUCAUGUAAGCAUGAACUCAGACCCUCUGCAAAGGUAGAGGUGAUAUUUAGGCUGCAUUCUGCUGACGUGUUCCUGAGCUUGAUGAAGAGAGGAAAUCUUGUAAAUCCAGUAGUAAAUGCAGUUUGAGGAUAAAGCCACUAUACAACAAAAGAUCAUGGAAAUAGAAGAAAGCUCUCUUGUGAAUUAGGAAGAUUAAGAAGUUACCUUUUUUGACCUGGGAAGAUUGGAAAAGAAAUCUGGAAUUGCAGGAUGUGGAUUUGGCUUCAGUCUUUACCUUGAUGAUUUCAGGUGCAGUAUAUGUAUUUUGCUUCAGUUUAUGAUUUAUGCAGAUGAAGAAUGGGUUUUUUUGCCCAUUAAUACUAUCUUUAACUGUAAUAUGCUUCAUGGACGUGUCUUAAUGUCCGGAAGGUCUUGUAUAACUUAGUACUGAUACUGACAACCA